UACGGAGGGUGCGAGCGUUGUCCGGAAUCAUUGGGCGUAAAGGGCGCGUAGGUGGCGGGACAAGCGUGCGGUGAAAGCUCGGGGCUCAACCCCGCGUCGGCCGUGCGAACUGUUUUGCUUGAGCACUGUAGAGGCAGGCGGAAUUCCGGGUGUAGCGGUGGAAUGCGUAGAGAUCCGGAAGAACACCGGUGGCGAAGGCGGCCUGCUGGGCAGUAGCUGACACUGAGGCGCGACAGCGUGGGGGAGCAAACAGG
rnacentral:rRNA from 1 species